UCCGUUUCCGCCACCUCUUCCUUUUCCGGUCCUCUGGACACCACACUGGCCGUAUCUUCGACCCUGUCCCCCGUUUGGGAAGCGACAGCAGUCAUGGCGAUGUUUGAGCAGAUGAGAGCUAACGUGGGCAAGUUGCUCAAGGGUAUCGACAGAUACAAUCCUGAGAAUCUGGCCACUUUGGAGCGCUAUGUGGAGACACAGGCCAAGGAGAAUGCCUAUGAUCUGGAAGCCAACCUGGCUGUCCUGAAGCUGUACCAGUUCAACCCAGCCUUCUUUCAGACCACAGUCACCGCCCAGAUCCUGCUGAAGGCCCUCACCAACCUGCCGCACACUGACUUCACUCUGUGCAAGUGCAUGAUCGACCAGGCCCACCAAGAAGAGCGGCCCAUCCGACAGAUCUUGUACCUUGGAGACUUGCUGGAGACCUGCCACUUCCAGGCCUUCUGGCAAGCCCUGGAUGAAAACAUGGACCUCUUGGAAGGUAUAACUGGGUUUGAAGAUUCUGUCCGGAAAUUCAUCUGCCAUGUCGUGGGCAUCACUUAUCAGCACAUCGAUCGCUGGCUGCUGGCCGAGAUGCUUGGGGACCUGACAGACAGCCAGCUAAAGGUGUGGAUGAGCAAGUACGGCUGGAGUGCUGAUGAGUCAGGCCAGAUCUUCAUCUGUAGCCAGGAAGAGAGCAUUAAGCCCAAGAACAUUGUGGAGAAGAUUGACUUUGACAAUACGCGUUGGUACAGCAUGGCUUCUCAGCACAGACCAGCUCACUUGGUGCCAGUGGGAACCGGACUGAGUGGGCACUUGGGGACUGUGGACAUGUGCCUGUCCGUGUGAGAGCUUGCUGGAGCAAAGGUUCUGCAGUGAGGAGAUGCAAGUCCAGCACUUGGAGUGUUUUGCAGAUAGUACAUGCUGUUUUUAAAGUCAUGAAUAACACCACCAGGCCUUUUUCUAAUCAUGUCAUUUAAUCCUGGCAUACCAUUGAACCCUACUUUUCCAUGGGAUAGAUGCUUCCUACAGGUGUGUCCAGCAUCAUGGCCUCCUCUCAGUAACUUUGAAGGUGUUUAAUAAAGAUUUGUUGCCUUA